GAUAUUCUUGCUGAGCGAAGAAACUGUUCAUUUAACUGCUCUGCGAGCUGCCGUAGGGAUGCUCGCAGUUUGACAGUGAGUGCAAGGCAGCGGGCUGGUGCUAAGCCGCGGCGGAGGUGGUAACUGCAGGUUUUUAUGGGGCAUCACUAGAAGAAGUAGUCACCUUUAAGAUAGCUCUCUGAUGGAGCAGCGAUUGGAUUAUUUCUUUCCUUAACACGAAGAAAUUAUAAUCCUGUGCUGGCCAUGGACAGAAAAGGCUUGAGCUCUGCGAGAAACUGCUGAUCAAAGGCUGCUUUCCGAAUUUCUUCCUGUGCUGUGCUGAUUUCUUGCUACUUGAGAACACGGCGUAAGCUGCGUCUGCGCGUGCUGCCUUGCAGAGCUGGGGCUGUGCCGUGCUCCCCUGAAUAGAGGGGCCUCGGUCCAGCCAGCACGUCUUCUGAGCCUGACUUUGGAGUCACCUGGAGCAUGUCUUCUUCUAAAGUUACAGGCAUCUGCAGCGGCUCGUAAUGUUCACCAUGUUAUCACAGAAGUAAAUUUCAUGAAAAUUAAGCUGAGGGUAAUUAACACAUUAUUCCACUGGGCUGAAUUUGGAUUGCUUGUGUUGGAAACGCUCCCAAACAUUAGGAAACUUGGGUAUGGAAAAAUACCUCUUUAUAUACGGGAGUGAUCUAACAAAUGCUCUUUGGGUCAGUCUCGAGGUGGUUGCCUUUACAGAUGGAGCAGCGCCAAACUCGUAAAGCCUUCCAUCUUCUGAGUCCGGUCCCUGUUCCAUCGCCCCAAGUGGCGCUCCUUGUAGCGCAGGUGGUCAGGCUGCUCUCCUCAGUUGUUGGGACAUCCAUCAGCAGCAAAAUACUUCUGAGGAACAAGAAACGUUUACGUGAAUUGGCAGAGAAAAUCUCCAUCUUUGAGAGGAGCAGAAAAGACUUUUGGAAGGUGUUUGAGCAUAACCCCCAAGGAAGGAUUCACUGGCAGAUCUCAGCAGAUGCUCGCCAUUUCCACAUCUUGCGGGAUGGUUUCUGUGUGUGCAGGGGCUGCCGGUGCCACGGGAUGGGCCGAGCUUGGGGCCUCCUGGGCUGGUGAAGGCUGCCCCGGCUGGUGCUGGAGACAACCUGCUGUCUGCUCAAAGCUUCUGUAAUUUGUAAUUUCUUUUUGUAAAUUCUGUAAUUUGGCUAGUUACUGAAGGUAAAGACAUCUGGUGUGCUUCCAGAUUGGUACGUAGCAGAACGUGGCCUGUAAGAUGAGCUUCACUCAUUCUAUAAAACAAACUCCUACAGCA